rfam:Schistosoma mansoni, Puerto Rico, WGS project CABG01000000 data, contig: 0076
AUCCAGCUGUCCCAAAUAUGACGAAACGUGCGUCCUGGAU